CACGCUGUAAACGAUGAAAACUAAGUAUUGCCGCGAGGCAGUGCUGUAGCUAACGCAUUAAGUUUUCCGCCUGGGGAGUACGCUCGCAAGAGUGAAACUUAAAGGAAUUGACGGGGGCCCGCACAAGCGGUGGAGCAUGUGGUUUAAUUCGAAGCAACGCGCAGAACCUUACCAACCCUUGACAUCGGGAUCGCGGAUUUCAGAGAUGAUUUCCUUCAGUUCGGCUGGAUCCCAGACAGGUGC
rnacentral:rRNA from 1 species